rnacentral:rRNA from 1 species
CAGUCGCCGCGGGAACACGGAGGGUGCGAGCGUUAAUCGGAAUAACUGGGCGUAAAGGGCACGCAGGCGGUGACUUAAGUGAGGUGUGAAAGCCCCGGGCUUAACCUGGGAAUUGCACUUCAUACUGGGUCGCUAGUGUACUUUAGGGAGGGGUAGAAUUCCACGUGUAGCGGUGAAAUGCGUAGAGAUGUGGAGGAAUACCGAAGGCGAAGGCAGCCCCUUGGGAAUGUACUGACGCUCAUGUGCGAAAGCGUGGGGAGCAAACAGGAUUAGAUACCCCGGUAGUCCCUGUCUCUUAUAC